GUGUAACAUCAAACCGAGAUGAUGGAACGGCUUGAUUCGGCCACGUGUAUUGUGACUAGAACCUUGGAUAUGGCGGCCACGAGCUUCGCGAAUGUGGCGAGGGUUCUCGGCGCGCCUGGCGCCAAUCCGGCGAUUUCUCGCUCUUCCGCAGCUGUUGUGAGGAUGAAUGCGAGCGGCGCGGCUGGAGAGAGGAGCGUGGCGCUUAGGGUUUCGUCGCCGGGCAGGGAAGGCAGGGCGGAGCUGGCGGUGAUCUCCGGGGAAGCGGAAUUUGAUGAGGUUUUGCAGCGAGCGCAGGAGGACGAUUCAAUCGUUCUCAUCGAAUGGAUGGCAGCGUGGUGUAGGAAAUGCAUCUACUUGAAGCCUCAAUUGGAGAAGCUGGCUUUGGAAUUCCAGCACGGAGCAAAAUUCUUUUGUGUGGACGUCAAUGCCGUUCCACACGCAUUGAUUAAACGCGUUGGUGUUUCGAGAAUGCCAACUAUUCAGCUGUGGAAGAACAAGGAAAAGAGAGCAGAGAUCAUUGGAGGUCAAAAGGCCGAGCUGGUUGUGGAAGAAGUCCGGCAAAUGUUGCAGACCCUCGAAAAGUGACUCGUUGGUUGGAACUCGAGGACGAUAUUCCACCAACAUUUUUAUCCCUCGGACUAAAAGUGCCUGUAUAUGGUGGUCUACUCGACGAGCCAAAGCAAAAAAACUUUGGUCAGAGAUUUCCAUGAGAUCCAUCAGAAUAGAAACAAGGAGAUCAGAGAUUUGUCGCGCUUGAUUGCGGCUAUAAAGACGUGCAUCAAGAGCAGGGAUCUGGAAAUGGGGUACAAACUUCACGCGGAGGCAGCUCAAAGUGGAGACGACUCAAACAUUUACGUAGCAAACACACUGGUAAACAUGUACGCCAGGUGUGGGAGCUUGACAGACGCUCGCAGGCUUUUCGACAGGAUGGAUCGCCAUGACCUUGUGUCAUGGAAUGUUAUGGUGCUGGGAUACGCUGACAGUGGCUACGCAGAACUGGCACUGGACCUCUUUCAACUCAUGCAAGCUGAUGGCUUUGGUCCAAACUCUCGAAGCUUUGUAGCCGCCUUCAAAGCUUGUGCUUGUCUAGCAAAGCAAGAAGACACGGCGCUGAUCGAUGGGAAGCUUGUGAAGCUCAGGGCUCUCGAGAAAGGCAUGGCUCUUCACUCCCAAGCUGCAAGUUUCGGCUGUGACAUGGACAGAUUCGUAGCAAACGUGUUGGUGGACUGUUAUGCAAACUGUGGUAGCAUGGAGGAUUCAAGCAGGGUCUUCUACGGGAUCCAGAGUCCGACGGUGGUUUCAUGGACUGCAUUGGUUCUCGGAUAUGCUGAAAACGGGCAGGGAGAGAUGGCCUUGGAAAUGUUUUCACAGAUGCAACACGAGGGUGCUGAGAUGGAUUUUCUAAGUUUGUGGCGGCACUCAAGGCUUGCAGUGUUUUGGCCGUGAAGGAAAAGGCAGCAAAACGAGCCAAUGGCUCCUUGGUGAAGAUCAUUUCUCUGGAAAGAGCCAUGAAAAUCCACUCCGAGACGUCAAGGAAGAAGUGCGAUUCGGACUUAUAUGUGGCGAGCUGCCUGGUGGAUACUUACGUCAAGUGUGGGAGCAUGCUAGACGCGCGUAGGAUUUUUGACAGGAUGACGCAGCGGAAUGUGGUCUCCUGGAAUUCGUUAAUCUUGGGGUAUGCCGAGAAUGGAGAAGAGGAA